AGAACGAACGCUGGCGGCAUGCCUAACACAUGCAAGUCGAACGAGACCUUCGGGUCUAGUGGCGCACGGGUGCGUAACGCGUGGGAAUCUGCCCUCAGGUACGGAAUAACUCAGGGAAACUUGAGCUAAUACCGCAUAAUGUCUUCGGACCAAAGAUUUAUCGCCUGAGGAUGAGCCCGCGUAGGAUUAGCUUGUUGGUGAGGUAAAAGCUCACCAAGGCGACGAUCCUUAGCUGGUCUGAGAGGAUGAUCAGCCACACUGGGACUGAGACACGCCAGACUCCUACGGAGGCAGCAGUGGGAAUAUUGGACAAUGGGCGAAAGCCUGAGUCCAGACAAUCGGCCGCGUGGAGU
rnacentral:rRNA from 1 species